rnacentral:lncRNA from 1 species
UCUGUGAGCAUUUGGAGGAUGAAAUGCGUCUGCACUCCAAGGUUGCUGGAGGGCUCGGGGCAGACGGGCGCUGCCCCAGCCUGUGAUGGGCAUGGCCUUGAGGAUGCCAGCCUCAUGCAGAAGCCAGUCUAGGGGAUUAUACAGGGUGUGCACACCCACUCCCCUACCCUCGGACUGGAGCCACAAAACCCUCCCUCUAACUGGGUCGUGGUUUUAGGCAGGGCCGUGGCACCCCACCACUGCAGGGGCCACCAUCCAUAUCAGGCAGACUGUAUGAACCGUG